GGAGCUGCUGCAGCAAGAGACAGAGCCUCCACUGUGCCCCAAGCGUGACACUCCAGAGUCACUGGGGCUGCAGAGACAGCAGCAGGACAGCAGCAAGAACAUAGAAUUGCAGGGCAUUAGAGGCUGGAAGGGACCUCCAGAGUCCAGCUCCCCUGCCAAGGCAGGAUCAGCCAGGGUAGUCUGCACAGGAAUGCACCCUGGUGGGUGUGAUGGUUUGGGUGUACCCCGCCCCCCCAAAUUAUCUGUGUUUUGGUUUGGUUGCAAAACUGUCCCCUCUCAAUGUCCUAUUUCCCCACAUUUUCCUCCUUUUAUUUCCAUCUCCUUCCUUUCCUCUUCAUCUUCCUCUUUUCAUCUCCAUCCUUUUCCUCUCCAUCCUCCUCCUCUUUAUCUCCUUUCAGCACACCUUUCCUUUUCUGCCAUAUCUGCUCCUUUCCCACUCCACACCACAUUUUCCUCUUUUCUCCCCCAAACCCAGAGCACCUGCGUUCUGUUAGAGUCUCCUCCCACCCCAGGUGUGACCACUUUGCUCUCCCUGCCCACUCCCCUUUAUAAUCUGCCCCAGGAAAGGCAGUAGCCUCAAGCUUGCCCAACUGGGCAGAGGGAUCCUCCUCCCAUCAUCACUGACUGUAAAAAGCACAGGAAGAAACCUGUGGAACGUUUUGAGAAGCUUUGAAUGAGCAUGGAGCAAAUGUCUGAGAGUCCUGCUGCCAGCAGCACCUGCAUCCCAGCGAGCCCGGGUCUGCCACAGCCGCCUGUCCAACAGCACCGCGCACCUGCCUGCCGGCCAGCCGCUUCUGCUCCCCCAUCCUAAGCCUGCUUGAGAGAGAGCCCAAGAGAAGCAGAUAAAGGAGGGCAAAGAUGCUCAAGCUGCCAAGUGGCUGUCCUUAACAAGAGCUUGCUGUUCCACAUGAGAAGCCUCACUGCUAGUUCUCAACACAGGCUAGACACUGGCCCAGCAAACCCCAGCACCUAGGUGGUGAACCAGGGAGUGACUCCCUGUCUCCCAAGUUGCCUUGAGCAAGUUUCCUGCUGCCUAGCACUUUUAUCCUGUCACUCCCCUCCCGGCAGCAGAGCCAUCAGAGGGGCCUGAGCACUGAAGUGCUGUUCAGCCAGGACCAGCUAAUGCAAAGGGUGUUCCAGAGUGGACUCUUUACUGUAUGCAGCCAGUUCAUAGAUGCAUAGCAAGUGGUACUUAAAAUUGUUUCCCAAGUGGUGGCAUUUUUCAUAUCCAUAUUUUACUUUUUACCCCAUUUCACUGAAAUACUCUCUGGAAGAAUUUCUUCUGGAAUAAACAUUUCAGCACAUCA